GUCCGCUUAGAGAACUUCGGUGCCACCCAUCCAUCUGUCGAGAAAGACUUGAUUUCUCCUGCGAUUCGCGUGGGGUAAAGCGCACAGUCGAAUGUUUCGAUCUCGCUAAUCCCGCUAACACCCUCAAGGAGGUUAUUGUAGAAGACAUCGGGGUCAUGGCCAAGAGGAGUCACCACUCCCAUCCCUGUCACAACAACCCGUCUUGGUUUUGUCUGAGUAAACCUCUUCUCUCCAGUUUCCUUUGCGGGCUGCACAGCUACCGCCAUGGUUUUU
rnacentral:misc_RNA from 1 species